rnacentral:rRNA from 1 species
UUGCUCUUAUGAAGUUAGCGGCGGACGGGUGAGUAACACGUGGGUAACCUGCCCAUAAGACUGGGAUAACUCCGGGAAACCGGGGCUAAUACCGGAUAACAUUUUGAACCGCAUGGUUCGAAAUUGAAAGGCGGCUUCGGCUGUCACUUAUGGAUGGACCCGCGUCGCAUUAGCUAGUUGGUGAGGUAACGGCUCACCAAGGCAACGAUGCGUAGCCGACCUGAGAGGGUGAUCGGCCACACUGGGACUGAGACACGGCCCAGACUCCUACGGGAGGCAGCAGUAGGGAAUCUUCCGCAAUGGACGAAAGUCUGACGGAGCAACGCCGCGUGAGUGAUGAAGGCUUUCGGGUCGUAAAACUCUGUUGUUAGGGAAGAACAAGUGCUAGUUGAAUAAGCUGGCACCUUGACGGUACCUAACCAGAAAGCCACGGCUAACUACGUGCCAGCAGCCGCGGUAAUACGUAGGUGGCAAGCGUUAUCCGGAAUUAUUGGGCGUAAAGCGCGCGCAGGUGGUUUCUUAAGUCUGAUGUGAAAGCCCACGGCUCAACCGUGGAGGGUCAUUGGAAACUGGGAGACUUGAGUGCAGAAGAGGAAAGUGGAAUUCCAUGUGUAG